rnacentral:rRNA from 1 species
GUUUGCCUACGGGGCGCAGCAGUAGGGAAUCUUCCACAAUGGGCGAAAGCCUGAUGGAGCAAUGCCGCGUGGGUGAAGAAGGUCUUCGGAUCGUAAAACACUGUUGCUAGAGAACAAAGUGCGUGAGAGUAACUGUUCACGUUUCGACGGUAUCUAACCAGAAAGCCACGGCUAACUACGUGCCAGCAGCCGCGGUAAUACGUAGGUGGCAAGCGUUAUCCGGAUUUAUUGGGCGUAAAGGCAACGCAGGCGGUCUUUUAA